GAGUGUGUAGCUCAGUGGUAGAGCGUUUGACUGCAGAUCAAAUGGUCGGGAGUUCGAAUAAUACUCUCCACACUCU
rnacentral:tRNA from 1 species